UGGGGAAUAUUGCACAAUGGGGGAAACCCUGAUGCAGCGACGCCGCGUGAGUGAGGAAGUAUUUCGGUAUGUAAAGCUCUAUCAGCAGGGAAGAAAAUGACGGUACCUGACUAAGAAGCCCCGGCUAACUACGUGCCAGCAGCCGCGGUAAUACGUAGGGGGCAAGCGUUAUCCGGAUUUACUGGGUGUAAAGGGAGCGUAGGCGGCAAGGUAAGCCAGAAGUGAAAGCCCGCGGCUCAACUGCGGGACUGCUUUUGGAACUAUCUAGCUAGAUUGCAGGAGAGGUAAGUGGAAUUCCUAGUGUAGCGGUGAAAUGCGUAGAUAUUAGGAGGAACACCAGUGGCGAAGGCGGCUUACUGGACUGUAAAUGACGCUGAGGCUCGAAAGCGUGGGGAGCAAACAGG
rnacentral:rRNA from 1 species